rnacentral:rRNA from 1 species
UACAGAGGGUGCAAUCGUUGUUCGGAAUUACUGGGCGUAAAGCGCGUGUAGGCGGUUUAGUAAGUCGGUCGUGAAAUCCCUUGGCUUAACCAAGGAACUGCGUUCGAAACUAUUAGACUAGAGUAUCGGAGGGGGUGGCGGAAUUCCCGGUGUAGAGGUGAAAUUCGUAGAUAUCGGGAGGAACACCUGUGGCGAAGGCGGCCACCUGGAAGAUUACUGACGCUGAGACGCGAAAGCGUGGGGAGAAAACAGG